rnacentral:rRNA from 1 species
UACGUAGGGACCAAGCGUUGUUCGGAUUUACUGGGCGUAAAGGGCGCGUAGGCGGCAUAUUAAGUCAGCUGUGAAAUCUCCGAGCUUAACUCGGAACUGUCAGCUGAUACUGAUGUGCUAGAGUGCAGAAGGGGCAAUCGGAAGUUCUUGGUGUAGCGGUGAAAUGCGUAGAUAUCGGAAGGAACAUCAGUGGCCGAAAG